AGCAAGAUGCCAACUUUAAUGCCAAUUUAUUUGUGUAACAUUCUGUGACCAAAUGUAUAGAUAACUUUUUGUAGAUUGUAAAAAUAGAUAACCCAUUUAUUACAAAAAAACUACACUAGAAUUAUCGCACUGCGUUGUAUGACUCCGCUAACCAGAGCAGUGUCCGUCUACAUAUUUCUACAUAUUUUCUCUCAUAUAAAUGACACUGUAUCUCUUGACAACUGAAACCAUAAGAUGAGGUCAGUGUGGCCUUGACCUUUUUACUUUAAGACAAAUACAAAGUUAGACAAUCCGAAAACAUGCAGUUAUGCCUCCGGCGACUCGCUAUUGCAGAGGCAUUAAAACCGUAGUGUAGUAGAUUGGAUUUUAUUGGUGUUACAUUGGACAUCUUGUAUGGGUACACCAAAAAAUAUAUUUGGUUUCACAUUCUAGAUGGCAAUAAGCAGAGUCAUCAACUCAGGAAAAAUAUUUCUGUAGAAAAGAAAGCCUUGUAUGUGUGUAUGUAUACAUACACACAAACGCACAAUUGAGACGUUUUUGUCUUUUAUCAUAUAUUCUCAGGCAGUACUGAUGCAUUUACUGAGACGGGACGUGAGGGCCUACUCUGCGUGCUCAGAGUUCAAGCCCAGCAGGCUGCAGCGGGCCUGACAUAUUCUGGAACAGCAGCACAGUCUUUGGAUGACUCCUCUGAAGAUGAAAACAUGGCGAGUUCUUCUCAAGAGAAGCAGUACAGGUGUGCCUCAGCUCCACGGUCCCUCCUGCAGCCUCCGCUCCUGAUGCUAACCUCAUGUCUCCAUCACACCAAGCAGCAGACCUGGAUUUACAGACCUUUCUCCAGAGCUGCCCCCUCCCUCUGAAACCCCCCUCUCCAAAACACUAUUUGUGUAGUUUUUAAAGUAUUUUUUGCAUGAGAAUUGUUGAUCAUAACAUUUCCAGCAGAUGCCUUAAUAUAAUGUUUGUGCACAAUAAAUGACAUUGAUCAAUAA